GACGAACGCUGGCGGCGCGCUAACACAUGCAAGUCGAACGAGCGAGAGAGAGCUUGCUUCUCGAGCGAGUGGCGAACGGGUGAGUAACGCGUGAGGAACCUGCCUCAAAGAGGGGGACAACAGUUGGAAACGACUGCUAAUACCGCAUAAGCCCACGACCCGGCAUCGGGUUGAGGGAAAAGGAGCAAUCCGCUUUGAGAUGGCCUCGCGUCCGAUUAGCUAGUUGGUGGGGUAACGGCCCACCAAGGCGACGAUCGGUAGCCGGACUGAGAGGUUGAACGGCCACAUUGGGACUGAGACACGGCCCAGACUCCUACGGGAGGCAGCAGUGGGGAAUAUUGCACAAUGGGCGCAAGCCUGAUGCAGCAACGCCGCGUGGAGGAAGACGGUUUUCGGAUUGUAAACUCCUGUUCUUAGUGAAGAAUAAUGACGGUAGCUAAGGAGCAAGCCACGGCUAACUACGUG
rnacentral:rRNA from 1 species